rnacentral:rRNA from 1 species
CGGUGAGCAAUCUGCCUUGGAGUGGGGAAUAACGGCUGGAAACAGCCGCUAAUACCGCAUGAUACAGCUGGGAGGCAUCUCCCUGGCUGUCAAAGAUUUAUCGCUCUGAGACGAGCUCGCGUCUGAUUAGCUAGGUUGGCGGGGUAACGGCCCACCAAGGCGACGAUCAGUAGCCGGACUGAGAGGUUGGCCGGCCACAUUGGGACUGAGACACGGCCCAGACUCCUACGGGAGGCAGCAG